rnacentral:rRNA from 1 species
UACGAAGGGGGCUAGCGUUGCUCGGAAUCACUGGGCGUAAAGCGCACGUAGGUGGGUCGUUAAGUUGAGGGUGAAAUCCCAGGGCUCAACCCUGGAACUGCCUUCAAUACUGGCGACCUUCGAGUCCGGGAGAGGUGAGUGGAACUGCGAGUGUAGAGGUGAAAUUCGUAGAUAUUCGGAAGAACACCAGUGGCGAAGGCGGCUCACUGGUCCGGUACUGACGCUGAGGUGCGAAAGCGUGGGGAGCAAACAGG